rnacentral:lncRNA from 1 species
AGGGAGAUGAUACUCGGCCAUGGAAGUUGCCUUCCUUAGUUGGUGUUUGAUGUUGUGGUAAUGAGGCUUGAAGAUGAUUGAAUUUGGGUGCUUAACAAAAAGGAUUGGAUGUGAAGGUGUGUGAGAAUUAGAAAAGGAUGGGUCUUAGCAACUUCAUGAAGUAUUCGGCCAUGGUACUAGAAUGUUGUAAUUGUGUUUAAACUUAG